AGUUUCCUUGCACAAGCUCUCUCUCUUUUUUGCUUGCUGCCAUCCACGUAAGAUGUGACUUGAUCCUCCUUGCCUUCCUCCGUGAUUGUGAGACUUCCCCAGCCAUGUGGAACUAUCCUUCAGUACAAUGUUGCGCAGUCACUGUGAGAAUAUCCAUCUGUCCUGAACUUAGGGAAAAGCAAAGAAUACACGGGGACAGUUGAACAAUUCUGGAUGGGAGGAAUGAACAACUCUGGACCACCACCUUUAUGAACUGUAACACUCACCUGGAAGGUCUGCAGUUUCAGUCUUGAGGCCAGUGAGACCAGGAACCCACCGGAAGGAACGAACAACUCCAGAUGUGCCGCCUUUAAGAGCUGUAACACUCAUCCUGAAGGUCUGCAGCUUCACUCCUGAAGUCAGCGAGACCACGAACCCACCAGAAAGAAGAAACUCCGCACACAUCUGAAAAUAUGAAGGAA
rnacentral:lncRNA from 1 species